UGGUGGAGUGAUUUGUCUGGUUUAUUCCGUUAACGAACGAGACCUCGAUUUGCUAAAUAGCGUCCGUCAUUUUCGGAUGGCGCGAAGCUUCUUAGAGAGACUGCUGGUGUGGAGCCAGAGGAAGUUCGAGGCAAUAACA
rnacentral:rRNA from 1 species